rnacentral:rRNA from 1 species
GACGAACGCUGGCGGCAUGCCUAAUACAUGCAAGUCGAGCGGAGUUGAUGGAAAGCUUGCUUUCCUGAUACUUAGCGGCGGACGGGUGAGUAACACGUAGGCAACCUGCCCUCAAGCUUGGGACAACUACCGGAAACGGUAGCUAAUUCCGAAUACUUGUUUUCUUAGCCUGAAGAGCACUGGAAAGACGGAGCAAUCUGUCACUUGGGGAUGGGCCUGCGGCGCAUUAGCUAGUUGGUGCGGUAACGGCUCACCAAGGCGACGAUGCGUAGCCGACCUGGGAGGGGGAUCGGCCACACUGGGACUGGGACACGGCCCAGACUCCUACGGGAGGCAGCAGUAGGGAAUCUUCCGCAAUGGGCGAAAGCCUGACGGAGCAAUGCCGCGUGAGUGAUGAAGGUUUUCGGAUCGUAAAGCUCUGUUGCCAGGGAAGAACGCUUGGGAGAGUAACUGCUCCCAAGGUGACGGUACCUGGGAAGAAAGCCCCGGCUAACUACGUGCCAGCAGCCGCCGUAA